UUCUAUCAACCAAGAAAGUGCCUGGACAGU
rnacentral:piRNA from 1 species